AACGAACGCUGGCGGCAGGCUUAACACAUGCAAGUCGAGCGCCCCGCCAGGGGAGCGGCCGACGGGUGAGUAACGCAUGGGAACGUACCUUUUGGUUCGGAACAACUCCGGGAAACUGGAGCUAAUACCGGAUAAGCCCUAACGGGGAAAGAUUUAUCGCCGAAAGAUCGGCCCGCGUCUGAUUAGCUAGUUGGUGAGGUAACGGCUCACCAAGGCGACGAUCAGUAGCUGGUCUGAGAGGAUGAUCAGCCACACUGGGACUGAGACACGGCCCAGACUCCUACGGGAGGCAGCAGUGGGGAAUAUUGGACAAUGGGCGCAAGCCUGAUCCAGCCAUGCCGCGUGAGUGAUGAAGGCCUUAGGGUUGUAAAGCUCUUUUGUCCGGGAAGAUAAUGACUGUACCGGAAGAAUAAGCCCCGGCUAACUUCGUG
rnacentral:rRNA from 1 species